rnacentral:lncRNA from 1 species
AUUAUAACAAUCAAAAUGACUAAAAUUUUAAAGAAAUAAAUAUACAUUUAUAUCCCUACGGUUAACUAAUCAAAACCUUAGGGUUUAGAGUUAAGGGGUGGAGAUUUGAGAUUGAGAUUUAAAAUUUUAUAAAAUAAAAAAGAAAUACUAAAAAUUUGAAAAUAAAAAUUUUAAAAAUAGUUUCAAAAAGUAUUUUCGAAUUACAAAAAGAAAAUUUGAAAAAAAUAAACAAAAAAUUUCGAAAGAAAAUUAAAAAAAAAUUAUAAAAAAGUUCGAAUUUAAAAACAUAUAAUCUAAAACUAUAAAAAAUUUAUUAUUUUUUUUAUUUUUAUUUUUAUUUUUAUAUAUCUAGGGUAUUAGGGUCUUUUUACCUAGAAAUGAAACAUUUUGGUCAUCUUCCUCCUUAUGAUAUAUUUUUGUGAUCAAAACUUAAAAAUUGUCUAUUUAGGAGAAUUUUCCUAUAAUAAUCAUUAUUUAAAUAAAAGUUUUUUUUAAUGUUUUCGAAUUAUACUUUUUCAAAUUCGAACUUUUUUAUAAAUUUAUUUUUUCAAUUUCGUUUCGAAUUUGUUUUAUUUUUUUUUCAAAAUUUCUUUUUGAAAAUAAAAAAAUUAUGUUUGAAAUUUUUUAUUUUAUUUCUUUAUAUUUUUAAGUAUUUAUUUAUAUGUUUUUUAGAAUUCUAAAUUUCAUAUUCCAAAAAUCAUAUCAGACCUUUUAACUAUAAAUCUUAAGUCUAGAUUAGUUAACUCUAGGGUAUAAGUGUCUUUUCACAUUUCAC